rnacentral:rRNA from 1 species
GACGAACGCUGGCGGCGUGCCUAAUACAUGCAAGUUGAGCGAUGAAGAUUGGUGCUUGCACCAAUUUGAAGAGCAGCGAACGGGUGAGUAACGCGUGGGGAAUCUGCCUUUGAGCGGGGGACAACAUUUGGAAACGAAUGCUAAUACCGCAUAACAACUUUAAACAUAAGUUUUAAGUUUGAAAGAUGCAAUUGCAUCACUCAAAGAUGAUCCCGCGUUGUAUUAGCUAGUUGGUGAGGUAAAGGCUCACCAAGGCGAUGAUACAUAGCCGACCUGAGAGGGUGAUCGGCCACAUUGGGACUGAGACACGGCCCAAACUCCUACACGAGGCAGCAGUAGGGACGCUUCGGCAAUGGACGAAAGUCUGACCGAGCAACGCCGCGUGAGUGAAGAAGGUUGUCGGAUCGUAAAACUCUGUUGGUAGAGAAGAACGUUGGUGAGAGUGGAAAGCUCAUCAAGUGACGGUAACUACCCAGAAAGGAACGGCUAACUACGUG